rnacentral:rRNA from 1 species
AUUGAACGCUGGCGGCAUGCCUAACACAUGCAAGUCGAACGGUAACGACGGGAGCUUGCUCCCGGGCGACGAGUGGCGGACGGGUGAGUAAUACUUAGGAAUCUGCCCAGUAGUGGGGGACAACUCGAGGAAACUCGAGCUAAUACCGCAUACGCCCUACGGGGAAAGUGGAGGAUCUUCGGACUUCACGCUAUUGGAUGAGCCUAAGUCGGAUUAGCUUGUAGGUAGGGUAACGGCCUACCUAGGCAACGAUCCGUAGCUGGUCUGAGAGGACGAUCAGCCACACUGGAACUGAGACACGGUCCAGACUCCUACGGGAGGCAGCAGUGGGGAAUAUUGGACAAUGGGCGCAAGCCUGAUCCAGCAAUGCCGCGUGUGUGAAGAAGGCCUGCGGGUUGUAAAGCACUUUCAGCGGGGAAGAUAAUGACGGUACCCGCAGAAGAAGCCCCGGCUAACUCCGUG